rnacentral:rRNA from 1 species
GUCGAGCGGAACGAUCCUAGCUUGCUAGGAGGCGUCGAGCGGCGGACGGGUGAGUAAUGCAUAGGAAUCUGCCCGGUAGUGGGGGAUAACCUGGGGAAACCCAGGCUAAUACCGCAUACGCCCUACGGGGGAAAGCAGGGGAUCUUCGGACCUUGCGCUAUCGGAUGAGCCUAUGUCGGAUUAGCUAGUUGGUGAGGUAACGGCUCACCAAGGCUGCGAUCCGUAGCUGGUCUGAGAGGAUGAUCAGCCACAUCGGGACUGAGACACGGCCCGAACUCCUACGGGAGGCAGCAGUGGGGAAUAUUGGACAAUGGGCGAAAGCCUGAUCCAGCCAUGCCGCGUGUGUGAAGAAGGCCUUCGGGUUGUAAAGCACUUUCAGUGAGGAAGAAAGCCUUGAGGUUAAUACCCUCGAGGGAGGACAUCACUCACAGAAGAAGCACCGGCUAACUCCGUGCCAGCAGCCGCGGUAAUACGGAGGGUGCGAGCGUUAAUCGGAAUUACUGGGCGUAAAGCGCGCGUAGGCGGCUUGAUAAGCCGGUUGUGAAAGCCCCGGGCUCAACCUGGGAACGGCAUCCGGAACUGUCAGGCUAGAGUGCAGGAGAGGAAGGUAGAAUUCCCGGUGUAGCGGUGAAAUGCGUAGAGAUCGGGAGGAAUACCAGUGGCGAAGGCGGCCUUCUGGACUGACACUGACGCUGAGGUGCGAAAGCGUGGGUAGCAAACAGGAUUAGAUACCCUGGUAGUCCACGCCGUAAACGAUGUCGACUAGCCGUUGGGCUCCUUGAGAGCUUUGUGGCGCAGUUAACGCGAUAAGUCGACCGCCUGGGGAGUACGGCCGCAAGGUUAAAACUCAAAUGAAUUGACGGGGGCCCGCACAAGCGGUGGAGCAUGUGGUUUAAUUCGAUGCAACGCGAAGAACCUUACCUACCCUUGACAUCGAGAGAACUUUCCAGAGAUGGAUUGGUGCCUUCGGGAACUCUCAGACAGGUGCUGCAUGGCUGUCCUCAGCUCGUGUUGUGAAAUGUUGGGUUAAGUCCCGUAACGA